UACGGGGGGAGCAAGCGUUGUUCGGAUUUACUGGGCGUAAAGGGCGCGUAGGCGGUCAGCACAAGUCAGUUGUGAAAUCUCCGGGCUUAACUCGGAAAGGUCAACUGAUACUGUGCGACUAGAGUGCGGAAGGGGCAACUGGAAUUCUCGGUGUAGCGGUGAAAUGCGUAGAUAUCGGGAGGAACAUCAGUGGCGAAGGCGGCUGCCUGGCCCAAUACUGACACUCAGGUGCGACAGCGUGGGGAGCAAACAGG
rnacentral:rRNA from 1 species